rnacentral:misc_RNA from 1 species
GAUGAAGAACGCAGCGAAAUGCGAUAAGUAAUGUGAAUUGCAGAAUUCAGUGAAUCAUCGAAUCUUUGAACGCACAUUGUGCCCUUUGGCAUUCCGAAGGGCACACCUGUCCGAGCGCCGUCGCACAACUGAGGCGCAGCCUUGCGUUGGCGGGCGACUUGUGAGUAGCGAGUCGCCGCCCAAACGAGACGGCGCCGCGCCGCGGCCGACGAAGCACGAAAGCGGAAGUCGACGCGGAGGCGGUUGCCUGUAGGAAGACACAGCUUGGCCUCGGAUCAGGUGGGGAUACCCGCUGAACUUAAGCAUAUCAAUAAGCGGAGGA